rnacentral:rRNA from 1 species
UACGUAGGUGGCAAGCGUUGUCCGGAUUUAUUGGGUUUAAAGGGUGCGUAGGCGGUUCCUUAAGUCAGUGGUGAAAUACAGCCGCUUAACGGUUGAGGUGCCAUUGAUACUGGGGAACUUGAGUACAGACGAGGUAGGCGGAAUUGACGGUGUAGCGGUGAAAUGCAUAGAUAUCGUCAAGAACACCGAUAGCGAAGGCAGCUUACUAGACUGUAACUGACGCUGAUGCACGAAAGUGUGGGGAUCAAACAGG